UUAGAGCACACCAAACAUAAAAGUUCAGAGACUAAUGAUUAAACGGAGAACAACAAAAUAAAUAUCACAAAUGUAACAAAUAGCAAUAGCAACAACAACAACUACCCAGUAUAGUCCCACAAAAUGCGGUCUGGGACGGGUAAUAUGUAGACAGGCCUUACCCCUACCCGAAAGGGCAGAGAGGCUGUUUCCAAUCGACCAAUUCUAAACAACUACCCAAUAUAGUCCCACAAAGUGGAGUCUGGGGAGGGUAAUUUGUAGACAGGCCUUACCCCUGCCCAAUAGGGCCGAAGGCUGUUUCCAAUCGACCCUCGGCUUAGGGAAGGAAAGGAGAAACAAAAACAAAAAUAAAAGAUCAUUAGUAACUCCAGCAGAAAUCACAUAAAUAAUUGUCUAAACAUAAGAACCAUAAAUAAAAUGACAUGCAAUAAUAUCAAACAGUAACUACCAUAAGGGCACACAAUCCAAUACACAAAUCAUCUAUGGAGAGCCCUACCAAACC
rnacentral:lncRNA from 1 species